AACGAACGCUGGCGGCAUGCCUAACACAUGCAAGUCGAACGGGAUCCUAGCUUGCUAGGUGGGAGUGGCGGACGGGUGAGUAACACGUGGGAAUCUGCCUUUUUGGUUCGGGGAUAACCGCGGGAAACUGCGGCUAAUACCGAAUGCCCUCGAGAGAGGAAAGAUUUAUCGCCAGAAGAGGAGCCCGCGUCCGAUUAGGUAGUUGGUGGGGUAAAGGCCUACCAAGCCGACGAUCGGUAGCUGGUCUGAGAGGAUGAUCAGCCACACUGGGACUGAGAUACGGCCCAGACUCCUACGGGAGGCAGCAGUGGGGGAAUAUUGGACAAAUGGGCGGAAAAGACCCUGAUCCAGCCAUGCCGCGUGUGUGAAGAAGGCC
rnacentral:rRNA from 1 species